rnacentral:rRNA from 1 species
UACGUAGGGACCGAGCGUUGUCCGGAAUCAUUGGGCGUAAAGAGCGUGUAGGCGGCCACUUAAGUCCUGCGUGAAAUCCUGCGGCUCAACCGCAGACGGUCGUGGGAAACUGGAGGGCUAGAGUGCGGGAGAGGAGAGUGGAAUUCCCGGUGUAGCGGUGAAAUGCGCAGAUAUCGGGAGGAACACCAAUGGCGAAGGCAGCUUGCUGGGACGGUACUGACGCUGAGACGCGAAAGCUAGGGGAGCAAACAGG